GCAAUGGUGGUUCAGUGGAAGAAAUCUUGCCUUCCAUUGGGAGACCUGGGUUUGAUUCCCAGCCAAUGCA
rnacentral:tRNA from 1 species